GCCUGUGUUAGUUGUUUUCAUACACUUUUCCCAAUAUCAAACCUCAAAAAGUUGAGAAAAUCGCCUGCGAAAAGAUUUAACUCCAUAAUUCGCAAAUGAAUCGACAAAAUUAUCGUUGAAGAUCGAUGGAUCUGGAAACGAAAAUGGGGAAUUUAGGGUUUGAAUGAUGGAUCCUUUCCACUCAUUUCUCUCUCCUACUCAAGAUUUCUUCUUCAUCAACCGUGCUAUGUUCAUAUCGAAGACUCGACUGUUCUUCGAAUUUUUGAGAUCUGUUUUUUUUUUUCGUUUUUUUUUUUAGUGAAGAGAGAGAUGGAAAAGGUAAAAGCAAAAAAAGGAAAAAUUUUUAUUGUUGAAUCUCGGGGUUUUUAUUCGAAUUUGUUCGAAUUUUUCGUUUUCGUUUUUGUUCGAAUUUUUUCGUUUUUCGUUUUCGUUUUUGUUCGAAUCAGAGGUGAUAGAAUUUUUCGUUUUCGUUUUUGUUCGAAUUUCUUCAUCGUUUCUGUUAUGAGAUAAGAGACUCGACUGUUCUUCGAAUUUUAUCUUUUUUGUUCUUCUUCAUCAACCCCUCAAAAAUCCAUCUCCCCAGGCUGCAGCAUAGCUGCUGUUUUUGUGUGUGACUCAUAUGUAGUUUGAAGCACAACAAUCAACUAUAUUCAGAUUGGUCAAAAUACAGCAACAUCAAGUACCUCAUUCAGCAACGAUGUAUAAUUUUUUUUACUUAUUUGUCUCUGGAGAACUUGCAAUCUAGACAUGUUGUGCAAAGUUUGCAGAUUUAUUGUUGUUUGGUUUCGUUUAUAUAUAUCUUAAUUUUUCUUUUUGUAAUUUAUUUGUUUAAUUAUAAUAUUUACUGAAUAUAAUAUAUUCAUUUGUUAUUG